AAACCAGGACUCAAACCUAUCUCUUUUCUUUCCAAAAUCUAGAAUUUUAACCUAUGCACCAUGAUUCCAUUGAAGACCUCCAAGGUGCAGCCAGCUGCUAAGUCAUGGCAAGUCAACAUUGUGUCCUAUCACAACAAGGCUUUGCAACAGCAAUGAUGCAAUCACUCAGAUGCUGUUUAAACAUUACAUUAAAAGGCAAGCUGAAGUCCAAGGUUAUCUUGAGCAGCAAUGUGUAUGGCCUUGGGAGGAAAAAAAAAAAUCACCAAAUCCAUGGAUGAUGCUAUGUAUUUAUAAUCUAAACUGGAAUCCCCAUCUACUGUUCCAACACACAGGAGUAUUUCUGAAAGCUACAAGGCUCACUACACUGCUUGAAAGUAGAAGUAGAAGGAAGAAGUUCAGAGUCUUGGAUGGCCACUUUCCAAAGAAGUGGAGGUACACGGACCAGACACAACAGCCUUUUUUUUGGAAGCUCUUUUAACAUGGAGAGUCUCAAGCUCCGCCUCAGACUACUGGAUCAGAAUCCACAUCCCCAUUAAAAUUUGCGAAACACUGCUGUAGGAAGACCUUACUGGACAAAAACAUUUUUUUCCCCCUUCUCCCAGCCUGAGUUUCUCUGAUUGGAAAAUGGAACUAUAACAAAGUAUACACAAAGAGGGAAAAAAAAAAAAAAACUGAAGGAGCACAGUUCACAUGAGUGGGGGUGGGGGUGGGGGUGGGGGUGCGUUAUGGGAGGAUCUCUCUAAGAUCUAUACUUGGCGCGAUUUUUAACCUUGUAGGGCCAGGGUGUUACUUCCUCUGUAAGGCAGUGAAAUGAUUUUCAAAAGGCGCUAACACUCUCUCGGAGCACUGUCCUUAUGACUUUUAAAAGGGACCGAUUUAGAAGCGCGGACGCUCCAGAGGUGUUGAGGGCAGCGGCCGGGGCCAGCGCUCCAGCCUCUCCCACCCGACAGCGGGCUCGGGGCCCUGGUCCCCGCCGUCCACCCCUGCACAUCUGCACCCCCAGUCCUGCAAACCUCGGGCCGCCCAGACCCUGGGGUCCGCCAGGCCUCCGGUCUGAACCGUAGUAGCUGGAGCGUUCCGCAGGCUCUGUAACUUUCCCUGAAAUGAAAUAAAUAAAGACCGUAAGUGCGGACAUAGCGGGCCUUCAAAAAAUAG
rnacentral:lncRNA from 1 species